GCCAAAUAUGUAAGAAUGUGUUAGAAUAUGUUAAAAUGUUUUUCAGAACAGCAUAACCUGGUUUUAAUUUUUGCUACAGCAGGUCAGACGUACAGGACAGGGAUCAUGGAAUAUUUCAACAUGCAUGAUUUACAAAAACCAACAGAAGAGUUUUUUGAUGAUGACAAUACAACAGUCUGCAAGCUCAAACUCAUUGGGCCUUUCACUUUUUAUGACAAAGAUGGCUCCACCAAGAAGAAACUGGCGGAGCAACAGGCAGCUAAAAUUGCAUUGCAGCAUCUGUCAGGGAUCCUCAACUUUACUCCAAUAUCAGAUACUGAGAAGAACUUCAAAGGUGUUCUGAAGGAGCGUCUAGAGAUGCUGGGUCUCAAAAAUCCUGUUUAUGAAGAGUAUAAAGCAGAGGCCAGUGAAGAGUCUGUCACCAGCGGUAUGAGCACAAAGCUUUCAAACUUAUCUAUCAAUCAGGAAGCAGUAAAAGAGCAUUUAGACCUGAAGUCUGAAAGCAUCUCCACAUCAGCACAGCUCCCAUCAGGCCAGGAACCAGUCCGUGUUCCUGUUCCUGUGCAGCCGGACCCGCCAGACUCCAGCUCUCCAGCCUCACAGAUGAAAAAGCCCAGGAUUGAUUGUCCAGAAAUCGAUGAGCUGGUAAAUGUAUAUAAUCUCAAGCCACCACACAUGAAUGUAGAGAACAUGAAAUAUGAUCAGAAUGUCAAAUGUACUGUGACAGUCAACAUGGAAAAAUAUACUUGUGCAAACAAACAAAGCUACGACUCCAAGAAAGAAGCCAUUCGAAAAGCCUACCUGUUAUUCGGCCGUGCGGUGGGAAUUCUGGAUCCUAGCUCAGAUGAAAAGACGUGCAGUGCACUGGUGAAGCAGCACUUUUCUCAGAAGUCUCUUAUUCUUCCUCAGGAAGAUGUUGAAGGAUCUGUAAAGCCAUUUUACUGCUCACUUAAAAAUAUAACUUACGAUGUGAAGUAUGAUGGACAAGGGUCUUCAGAAGGUGAAGCCAAGUUACAAGCUCUCCAGAAUGCCUUACAUGCACUAUCACCUCUCUUUGAUUAUGCUUCACUACCGGGAGCGGAUAGUCCUGAAGAGGUGCAGAAUCAGCUGAGCGCCAUGCUGAACGGGGCCGGUCAGAAAGAGCCUGUCAUUGACCUGAAAUCUGAGGAACGAGCCUGUAUCCAGCUGUCUUUCUGCGACUAUACGCUGAAGUGCACAUGCCAAAGCUCCAAGAGAGCAGCUAGAAAUCAUCUGAGUGAACGUAUACUGGGUCUGCUGGGGGUAAAGACAGAUAACAAUGCAUCUUUGAGAAACAGUUUAGAUGUGUGGUUCAGAAAGCAGAAUCUGCCACAGCCAGUGUUUGAGGACAUAGAAGAGGCGCUUGGAGCAAAGGCUACUUUCUCUGUUCAGUUAAGCUGCUGCAGUCCAGGCUGGGAGGACAGCUGGAAAACUGCAAAGUCGAAGCUGCUUCAAGAGCUCAAGCUCAGAUUUCGAUUUCUCAAUGAAAAAAACAAUUGAAAUUGAUCUUAGCUGGAAAAAAAAAAUCAACCCAAAUUGCACUAUUGGUCUGCAUGCCCUAGUCACCUACUGUACCUUGACUUGUUCUGGUGAAGAUUUUCAAACCUGGCUUGCAAUUUUAUCUGUUUUAAGGUUUUUCUUUUUCUUUUUUUUAAUACAGAUAUUUACAUUCUUAAAUGUACAUUUAUUUUUACAAUUUUAAAUUUCCCUGGGAUUUAAAUCAAUGGCCAUGGCACUGAAUUAAACUAGAUGUAUUUUAAAGAUUUAUACCAAAGGUAUACCAACUAAACCCUUUUAACAUCAGCAGAAAAUUACAAAUCAACAAAAUUUAAUGAAAAUGAAAACCUGAAGUUUCAUUCCUUUUCCAAAAGGCACUGAUAUUGCACUAACUGAAAUCCAGAUUCAGGGGUUUGCUGUCUUUGCUGGAAAACUAAUCUAUUUUAAUCUAUUACUGUGCAUAUGAUUUAAUGAGAUGAGCUACAUUUUUAACAGUUUGGUUGGUGAAGUGAAUUUAUUCAUUCCACACUUGACUGCAGAGCCAUUUUACAGUAUCGACAUUUACUUGUGUUGGAAAAUUACCAGUAUGCAGCAGAUCUUCAUAGGCUUACGAGAGAAACUGAGUGGUACAAUGUGAAUUUUGAACACCAGCAUGUCAUUACAUUUAUUAAUCAUUUUUGGUUAAUACUGCCCUUGAACUGUUGAUUGUGCAAUUUGAAACCUCUUUAGAAUGAACUACAAAAACUGUUUACAAGAAGCUAUACUUUAUCAAAUACAGUGAGGAUAGAAAAU
ensembl:lncRNA